UUCAGCCCUUCACGCCCGCAGGCAGAGCCAUCAUCACUCACCGCGCCUCACGUCCUUUCUCCUCCCAUCACGCCUCCCGAUAUCCUCCGCCAAGGGCAGAUCCCGGCCAGCUCCGGCGAGUCCUCGCGCUGCUCAACACCGCCCCGGCACCACAUCCUCGUCCUCCACCGAUUCCAUGCCGCGGAUUUACCCCAUCUUGUUGGCGCCGCCGGACCCCUUCAAUGUGGCUCCAGGCCAGGCGACGAACCCGUGGCGGCGCGGUUGGCUUUCUCGCCGGUGCGCGCGUGCAUCGGUUGGUUCGUGCUCGGCGCUCCGUCGAGAUCGCCAGACCGCGUCGCGCGCGUGGCCGAUGCAGUUGGGUGUGCGCUCAUGCCACCGUUUGUCCGCAGUUUUGCAGGAAGACCCAAGACCAAUGCAUCUCCUCUGUGGAGGGGAUAGAGGCUUGUCCGUCGGCAUUUCCGGCGCGGCUCCCCGGUUGACAUGGACUGCUUCGCGGCUUUCCUGUUGCCUGUGCCGCCCGCCACGUGAGGCCACCGUAUGUCUGCAGUCACAGGGACUGAAAUUCAUCUCGUCUUGUUGGCGCCGCCGAACCCUGCAACGUGGCUCCAGGCCCAGAUCCUUCAGCGACGAACCUGUGGCGGCGCGGGUGGAUUUAUAGCCGGUGCACGCGUGCAUCGGUUGGUUAGUUCGCGGCACUCCGUCGAGCUCGCCAGACCGUGUCGCGUGUGUUGCCGAUGCAGAUGGGAGGACGCUGCAUGCCGGACACCAGGACGGGACGGCGGCUACGCGAGCCAUGGAGGGCUUCUCAUGCCGCCUUCCUCCACGCGCUGCAAGACCCAAGACCCAGGUGUCUCCUCUGAGGAGGGGACAUAGGCUUGUCCGUCGAUAUUGCCGGCGCGACUCCCCGGUUGGCAUGGACUGCUUCGUGGCUUUAUCAUGGCCCGCGUCGCUGGCCAUGUGAGGCCACCGUCUGUCUGCAGCCAUUGGAGUGUCUCGGAGCAAGGCGCCUCGCCAUAUUGGAAGAGGGCUUAGUGUGUGAACGUGAUGAAUGUCACACCCUUGCAGCCGUUGGAGUGGACGGUGGACUGUCUCGGAGGAGGGCGACUAGCCAGAUUGGCAGCGGGUACAUCUCGCAGGUGAUGACCAGGAAGAGGGCUCGGUGCGUGAACGUGAGGAAUGGUGCACCCUUGCAGAUGUUGUCAAUGGAGUAAGUUGGAUUAUAUUUACCUGUGAAGAUAUAUUGGUUGUGCCCUUCUUCGAUUGGUGUCAGGUUUUCCCUAGAAUCACAUCUUUGAUGCGAGAUCUGGUAGAUAUGAAGAAUUUGGUUGAGUUGCAUCGAUUGAGAUGGUAGCACACAGGGAGACUGCAUUUGACCUGGCCAAGUUCGUCGACAAGGAUGUCCAUGUGAAGCUCACCGGCAGCCGGCAAGGUCAUAUCAUCAUUGGCUUCUCCUCCGAGGCUUGAUGGUGUUCUGAGUGUUGAUGUCAAUGACUUCCAAACCAAUAUGGUGCCCUACCCAAGGAUCCACUUCAUGCUUUCCUCCUAUGCGCGAAAUUUAGGCGGAGUACAGGUCAACAUUAUGCGAUACCGUAGAACUACAGUUCUCCAUUGAGUCAAUGAUGUGCCCCUGGAAUCGUCCUGUGCCUGGGUGCUAAUUGAUGUAUUUUCCUUGUAUCGCAAGGACAAGGCGCUGACGCUGUUGCUCCAGAUGCGCAGUCGCUGCCGCCAUUAGAAAGAUGCCGAUCUAUUGCUGCUAGUUGACCCCCUGCGCCGCUGCACGCCAGACGAAUGAUCGACGUAACUGUCGUUACAAUCAGUGGAAUUAGUUUAGGCCAUUUGAAGUUGCAUAAGCAUCAUAGCUUAGUGCACGAUACGGCUGCCGGAGUUUGGUGCGACACAAAGUCAGUUGUCACAUCUCCCACGGCAGGGAAGAUAUAGUGCGGAUGCAGCCGAAGGUCGUGCUGGCCACCACUCCGUCCUGCUAUUACCUCCCCAACCUGCUGCUGCCAGUGAGUUACCUCUCCUCCUGCUCCUCCAGACAUCGAUGAAGAGAAGGUUUCGCAGGGUCAUGGACCUCGUCCAAAACGCCAUGCGGCCUACAAUUCCGUGAUGACCCUCAGUAUUCUUGGGACCACAAGCAUGUUCAACUCGUACCAUACAUGACCCUUCUCCACUUGCAAGUUUUGGCCUUGUUCUGGCACGGUAACACUGCUUGAAGCCGUCAGCCAGGCUUUUAUUUUGCCCCCCUCCUCCAGUUGGUUGUAACUACGCGGUGAAGUGCAUGUGGAGGAGGAAAAUGAUUGAGGAACUUCAUUUUAUCAUGUGUAUAAAUAAUAGUGGUUAGGUAUUAGAUGGUGAUACUGACAUUUUGUAUGUUACAACAUGUACCCAUGGAUUGUAAUUGUAAGAGAAGAUGAAAUUCAAUCUAGUGAGGUGUACUAGGGCAGUAAACAUAGACAUAUUCUUGUAGUGCUACCGAAAAAUAACCUGGUAGCACUAAAUUCUGAGAAGAUGUAUCUGAAAUUCUGAAUUGGUUUCUAGUACACUAUAUAUGUCUGAUGAGUUGAGAUGGAGUUGGCUAUAA